rnacentral:lncRNA from 1 species
ACAAUGCUGUGGAGUGCUUGCACUGGGCCUUAGAACGCAGCACUCAAGACAAGACUUGAACCUUUGAUGCGUCUGGAACUAGACCCUCAAAGCAGGAGAAACGGGCCUCCUCUGUAACUCAUCAAGAAGCCAGUGAUGCGUUUGUAUUGUAUAGCAGUUUUCUUUGAGAUUGCAACCUCCUAAGGCAGGAAAUGUUUACAGGGAAGUAGAAUAACAGAAUUUCUAAAGGGAAGUGAAAUAACCGCAGGGAAACUUAAGACGGGAAAUGAGUGGCUCGAACAGCUUCGGGGGGUUCUUGAAACUGACCAGAUUCACCAGGACAGUCCUCUCCAAGAGUGGAUAAGCAGUGAAGACCUCUGAGAGUCGCUCUCAGACAAGCCCAGUCACCCAGAAGAAGCAGAGAUCUGCUGAGCUGCCUGGAAGAUGCUCAGGCUGCUGACUGGUGCACCUGAAAAGGACACUCUCCAGCCUUCUGAGGUACAGUGUGUUCCAGGUUUCUAGCAUUUAUGAGCUGUCACCCAUGCUGGGGUGGGCUCUGGUGAUGCAGGUAUGAGUCAUUUAACCUCUUACCUAUAUUUCUAUAAGUAACCCCAAUAAAUUAACUAAUUGAUUUCUCAAAAUGA